UCCAGGGACCCCAAAUCUCGGAGGAGCCCAGGGAGCUGGAGCCCCAAAACCAGGAGGGGCAGAAUCCUGGAGAAGCUGAGCCCAGAGACCCCAAAACCAGGAGAGCCAGAGCACAGACACCCCAAAUCCUGCAGAGCCAGAGACCCCAACACCAGAGAGCCGGAGCCCAGAGACCCCAAAACGCGGAGAGCCAGAGCCCAGAGACCCCAAAACCAGGGAGCUGGAGCCUAGAGACCCCAAAAUCUGGAGAGCCAGAGACCACAAAACUUGUACAGCCGGAGCCGAGAUACCCCAAAACCUGGAGAGUUGAAGCACAGAGACCCCAAUACCAGAGAGCCAGAGACCCCAAUACCAGAGAAUCGGAGCACAGGCACCCCAAAACCCGGAGAGCUGGAGCCUAGAGACCCCAAAACCCAGAGAGACGGAGCUCAGAGACCCCAAAACCCAGAGAGUGGGAGCCCAGAGACCCCAAAUCCUGCAGAGCCAGAGCCCAGAGACCCCAAAACCAGAGACCAGACACCCCAAAACGCAGAGAGCCGGAGCCCGGAGUUCCUGGGAGCUGCAGCCAGGACAGCAGAGCCAGAGCCCUGAGGCCUGGGAGCCCUGAAACGCAGAGACCCCGGGAGCCCCCAGCCCACCCCGGGGGGCAGGACCCCCAAAACCCAGCCCCGUGUGCAGCCGGGAGGGUCCCUCACCCCAGAAGGAGCAGUGGCAUGUGGCAGGUGUGACCCUCCCCACCUGUGCCAGGUCACCAUGGAGCCGUGCCCGGGGCAGCCCCAGGAGGCCCUGCUGACGGUCAACGAGCAGGUUAUUGUCAUGUCCAGCCACGAGACCAUCCGGGUGCUGGAGGUGGGGGUGGAUGGGGACCCCAAAACGGCCGGGGAGGGAGCGGGGGGGUCCCCGGCACAGGGGGGCCCCCCAGGUGUGGAGGAUGCUCCCGCCAGCGCCCCGAGCUCGUCCGGAGGGGAGGCG